rnacentral:piRNA from 1 species
UGAGUUUCUCCUAGAUGACUCCUGGCAUC